CAGCGGCUGCUUACCAUGCAAGUCGAGGGGUAUAGUUCUUCGGAACUAGAGACCGGCGCACGGGUGCGUAACGCGUAUGCAAUCUACCUUUCACAGAGGGAUAGCCCAGAGAAAUUUGGAUUAAUACCUCAUAGUAUUAUAGAGUGGCAUCACUUUAUAAUUAAAGUCACAACGGUGAAAGAUGAGCAUGCGUCCCAUUAGCUAGUUGGUAAGGUAACGGCUUACCAAAGCAACGAUGGGUAGGGGUCCUGAGAGGGAGAUCCCCCACACUGGUACUGAGACACGGACCAGACUCCUACGGGAGGCAGCAGUGAGGAAUAUUGGACAAUGGGCGCAAGCCUGAUCCAGCCAUGCCGCGUGCAGGAUGACGGUCCUAUGGAUUGUAAACUGCUUUUGUACAGGAAGAAACACUCCGACGUGUCGGAGCUUGACGGUACUGUAAGAAUAAGGAUCGGCUAACUCCGUGCCAGCAGCCGCGGUAAUACGGAGGAUCCAAGCGUUAUCCGGAAUCAUUGGGUUUAAAGGGUCCGUAGGCGGUUUAGUAAGUCAGUGGUGAAAGCCCAUCGCUCAACGGUGGAACGGCCAUUGAUACUGCUAAACUUGAAUUAUUAGGAAGUAACUAGAAUAUGUAGUGUAGCGGUGAAAUGCUUAGAGAUUACAUGGAAUACCAAUUGCGAAGGCAGGUUACUACUAAUUGAUUGACGCUGAUGGACGAAAGCGUGGGUAGCGAACAGGAUUAGAUACCCUGGUAGUCCACGCCGUAAACGAUGGAUACUAGCUGUUGGAAGCAAUUUCAGU
rnacentral:rRNA from 1 species